AAAUUCUAGUUGCAGACUUGGUUAGUGUGGGAUGGCGAAAAUAUGCCUCUUUCUUUCAAACUUUCUUUAAUUAUUUUAUUUUUACUGUUUUUCCAUCCUAUGAUAAAUAAUAAUGCUCUCUUUUGAAAUGCUAAUUAAAAAAAAGGGUAUUUGAACAUUUUGAAAAGAGUUGUUUUAUUAACACACCACUUAUUUUUCUAUAUUACCCUCAUUGUUCACAUACAUUCAACAUUUCCUUAUUGUUCAUUCUCACCACACCUCUAAAUUUCAAGACUCUCAUUAAACAUGUAAAUGCUAAUUAUAAGGUCAACUAUAUGACAUUCGAUUGUUGGUUUAUGUUACUGGGAGAGCACAAAUCCAAAAUUUGCAUCCCUUUCUGUUACUCAUCUAGAGUCAAUCUCACAAAAUUUUGAUCCAAAAUUUUAAAUAUGAGUGUAUAAACAUUGUAAAAAAAUGUGCGGAAUGGAAUAGAAAUCCCAACCACUUGGUGUCAGACGGAUUUGUUGUACUCAAUUCAUGUUGCUUGCCUCCAUUCCUGCCUCAAAACCAUCAAUCGCAUAUAUGAAUAGGUGUCCAUAUCGACAUUGCAGAGCAGAAGAAAACUUGAAGGACUAGACAACAAUGGAGAACGGAGACAUGGUAGCAAACACUAAUAAUACGAUGCCGUUGUUGGAGGCAGGUGGUCAUGGAGGAGCAAAAGGGGGGUGGUGGAACAAGGUGCUGGACGUGGAGGAGGCAAAAAAUCAGGUGUUGUUUUCGUUGCCAAUGAUUCUGACGAAUGUUUGCUAUUACAUGAUCCCUUUGAUUUCGGUCAUGUUUGCCGGCCAUCUUGGUGAGCUUCAGCUUGCCGGUGCAACCCUCGCCAAUUCUUGGGCCACCGUCACCGGCUUCGCUUUCAUGGUUGGAUUAAGUGGAGCUCUGGAAACGUUGUGUGGGCAAGGAUUCGGCGCAAAGUUAUAUAGAAUGCUGGGGAUUUAUCUACAAGCCUCUUCCAUCAUUUCUUUCCUGGCCUCUAUCAUUGUAUCCGUAGUCUGGUUCUAUACAGAACCAAUACUUAUCUUAAUUCACCAAGACCCUCAAAUCUCAAAAUAUGCAGCGCUUUAUAUGAAAUUUCUGAUUCCGGGGUUGUUUGCAUAUGGCUUCCUGCACAAUAUUUUGAGAUUUCUUCAGACGCAAUCCGUUGUCAUACCAUUGGUCUACUUCUCGGUGAUCCCAGUGGUUCUUCAUGUUGGCAUUGCGUAUGGCCUGGUACGUUGGACAGGUCUUGGUUACGUGGGAGCUCCGCUGGCAGCUUCGAUUUCAAUAUGGAUAUCAAUGCUAAUGUUGGCCACGUACGUUUUGUGCGCAAAGAAGUUUGAGCAUACGUGGGAAGGGUUUACAUUAGAAUCAUUUAAUUACGUCCUCACCAACUUCAAACUUGCCCUACCCUCUGCAGCAAUGGUAUGUUUGGAGUAUUGGGCCUUUGAGAUUCUGGUGUUCAUGGCAGGAGUAAUGCCAAAAGCUGAACAAAACACUUCCCUAAUUGCAAUCUGUGUGAAUACAGAAGCAAUUGCAUACAUGAUUACAUAUGGCCUCAGUGCUGCUGCAAGCACAAGGGUAUCAAAUGAAUUGGGAGCAGGCAAUCCUGAGAAAGCCAAGAAUGCAAUGGCUGUGACUCUUAAGCUCUCUGUACUUCUCGCACUCAUCGUUGAUCUGGCUCUGGCAUUUGGUCACAAUUUAUGGGCCGGCGCCUUCAGCGACAGCAGCGUAAUAAUAAAACUAUUUGCUUCCAUGACACCGUUGCUUGCAAUUUCUAUAAUUGCUGAUUCUUUCCAAGGCGUCUUAUCAGGUGUGGCCAGAGGAUGUGGGUGGCAGCACCUGGCUGUGUAUGUAAACUUGGGAACAUUCUAUUUGGUUGGCAUGACAAUUGCAGGUGUUCUUGCAUUUAAGUUGAAACUAUAUGCUAAGGGGUUGUGGAUUGGUUUAAUCUGCGGUCUUUCUUGCCAAACUGUCCUACUUUUGGUGGUCACGCUGCGCACAAAAUGGACUCAACUGGAUUUACCUCGUAACGCAGAUGCAAUUUUGGUCUAAAUGGUCACACAAAACUAGUUCACAACGUAGACCGCAAUGGCAACCAUUUUAGACUAGAUUAUGGAAUUUUGAGGAAGUUAUAUAUUGCAGAGAAAAAUAGUGUCUGGAUGCUGGAGAAGAUGCAUGCAUGUUUCCAUUAACUGGUUGUUCUGGCAAGCAAUUUCCUAUAGCAGCGUAUACCACCUACGUUUAUUAGGAAGAACUUCAAUAGACGACCACUUUGCAAAUGUGACCUUAGAGGCCCUACCGGAAUACGAAGAACUGUGGAAUUGGAAGACAGGGAGAAUGGCUUAUUCUUCCGCAAUGGUUGGCAGGGUUUUGUGAAGGACAAUCAUUUAGAAUCUGGGGAUCUUUUGGUUUUUGAUUAUGAUGGUGAAACAAAGUUUAAUGUCAAAAUCUAUGAUAGGAGUGCGUGCGAGAAAGAUGUCGAAGCAGCCAAGAUGAAUACAGAAAAUCAAGCUCGAGCAAAAGAUGAAAAUGUUGAUCUUGACACUGAAAACUAUAGCAAAGAGCGCGAAAUCAGAACGACUAGCAGAAGUGGCAAUUACCUCAUUUCUAGGAAAAGACAUUAUUAUGUAGAAGAUACAUCAACUGGAUCUGUCUUGUUGAAAUCAGAGAAUAAAUGUUUUCUAGCAUUUUCAUACAAGAAACAUUUACUACAACGCGUGUGGCUGCAGUGUGGCAGUUAAUUGGAGAAACAUUUCAAGGAACUUUUCUUCCAAAUUCGACUUCUUUUUAGGGGUGGACUGUAUUAUAAGUUUUAGGAUUGAGUACAAAGAUAUAGAAUCGUUUACAUGAAAACUCUUCUAGCUCGAAUAUGUUUUUCAUUUUUAGUUUCACAGUCAAGUUUCAAGCGAAGUUAUCCAAGAUGUUCCACAUUGCAGAGGAUCCCGAAGCAACUAGCCGUAGAUGAAGGCCUUAUGUCAAAGAAUACUGUAACGCUUCAAGAUCCAGCUGGGCGUUCAUGGCUUAUUCAACUCAGAAUCAGAAGGCCUAAUUCUACUGAUCACUUGGACAUUUCAACAGGUUGGACAGACUGCGUGAAGGCGAACUGAAUUUCACCCGGGGACACCAUGAUUUUUGAGUUUGUGAAGCAAGGUUUGAUGCGUGUUCAUAUUUUCAAAAAAGGAGCAGUGAGAGGCAACAAGUGUCGUGUGGUGCUUGCUGGCCCUAAUGUUAAAGCUGAAAGCUAGUUGAUCCCAGAGUUUCACGUCACAAAUUUACCAUCCUUUGUAAAAAUGUUGUGUUCUUGUAGCCAAGUAGUGUUCUUGUAAAAAUGUUGUGACUGCAGUAUCACCAUUAGCUUAUCUAUUUUGGUUGAAGGAUGACGUAAUUUAAUUUAAUUACCCCAGCCACUCUUCUGUCUCUAAGUGCUUAGUAUUUUUUUCACAGGUCUUCAA